rnacentral:sRNA from 1 species
AUUGAGUGGGAAUAAGAGGCUAACUUGAUUUGAAGAGGGAACACCUAUUUAUAAUGGCUUUUCCUAAUCUAAUAUGGAUAAAAUGAUUUAAAAAAGAUAGUUCCCUGCCAAAAAUAAAAUUUGGCAGGGAAUUUUUC